AUGUUUUGCAGCCAAGAGUUCUUAGCGAUAUUGCUUUUUUAUCCUUCGAUCUCGGCCCUUCCUAUCAUUGCGAAGCAGAAUUCGCCAAGCGUUGGAUUGUUCACCCACCAACAGGGAACGUGAGCUGGGUUUAGACCGUCGUGAGACAGAUU
rnacentral:ncRNA from 1 species